AAUACACAUCUCAUCAAGGCAGCAAAUCAAAUUGCCUUUUUGAAACAACUUAAAGGCAGAGAAAAAUAUUGACUUAUUAGAUGAUGGCUCUAAUUCUUUUGCAACUGACUUGUCAUCAGGAACUAUUAACCACAAGAAAUACAUCAAGUUUUCUAAAACAAUAGAGAAGAAAAUUUCACUGGAAAUUAGGAGUUUGAGCCCAGAAUAUAAAAAAAUGCUCUUUAGAGAAAUGCUGAUUGCAUGUCUGUGAAAGGAAAUGUAAAGUAAGCCUGGAACAUCUUGUCUUCCGGAGAUAAGGAAACUAUUAAUAAAAAAGACUGCUAUCAGGGAUUCAUCAGAAGGACUCAAGAGCCUACUGGAAGAGUCUCCCACCUUUUCCUAUAAAAGAUGAGAAAAUUAGAGCAUCAAUAAGUAUAAUAAUUUCAGGGAAUUAAACUGCAUCAAAUAUA
rnacentral:sRNA from 1 species